AGAGCGAACGCUGGCGGCAGGCCUAACACAUGCAGGUCGAGCGGUCGUAGCAAUACGGCAGCGGCAGACGGGAGAGUAACACGUGGGAACGUACCCUUUGGUUCGGAACAACACAGGGAAACUUGUGCUAAUACCGGAUAAGCCCUUACGGGGAAAGAUUUAUCGCCAAAGGAUCGGCCCGCGUCUGAUUAGCUAGUUGGUGGGGUAACGGCCCACCAAGGCGACGAUCAGUAGCUGGUCUGAGAGGAUGAUCAGCCUCACUGGGACUGAGACACGGCCCAGACUCCUACGGGAGGCAGCAGUGGGGAAUAUGGACAAUGGGCGCAAGCCUGAUCCAGCCAUGCCGCGUGGGCGAUGAAGGCCUUCGGGUCGUAAGCCUUCGGCGGGAGAUAAUGACGGUACCGCAGAAGAAGCCCCGGCUAACUUCGUGCCAGCAGCCGC
rnacentral:rRNA from 1 species